ACGUGUUUCAGGAUUAUUUCUUAAAAUGCUCUGUUUAGCUAAAAAAGAAUUUGUUCCAUACUUUACGGACACAGUGUAUAUUACUACAGUGGAGUGGGAUGGUCACUGAUGUCAAAAUGAGCAGUGACACCGCGCGAAAUACAAAUAACCGAAACCUAGUAUAUCACAAACAUAAAUUUCCUUUCUUCUCAUUUUCUUAAUUCAUUGAGGUCAGCAAACAAGUGGUAGUCGCUGGGAGCCAUAUCUGGUGAAUCCGGUGGCUGCGGAAGCAAUUCGAACCCCAAUUGUGAAAUUUUGUCAUCGUUUUCAUUGAUUUGUGACACGGUGCAUUGUGUUGAUGAAAUAGAACUUUCCUCUUCUUCAAAUGUGGCCGUUUUUCCCGAUUUUGUCCUUUAUACGCAGGAGAACGAAAUGUAACAGUCGUGGUUAAUUGUUUUUUCCAUUUCGAGAUAGUCGAUGAAUAUUAUAUCAUGCUCUUCCCAAAAUACUGAUGCCACAACCUUGCCAGUCGACUGUUGCCUCUUUCACGCUUUGAAGUCGGUUCAUCACGUGCAGUCCAGUCGGCUGACUGUUGAUUGGAGUCCGGUGUGAACGUGUGAAAGUGUGAAAUGAUGGAGCUAUAUUUCAUCCAUUAUAAUAUAUCGACACAAGAAUAUUCGGUUUUAUUGCAAUUGAACAGCUUCUACUCAGAAUCAUCAAUUCGUUGUUGUUUUUGAUCGAUUGUGAGCUCUCGCGGCUUUCACUUUGCACAAAGCUUUCGCAUACCCAAAUAUGCAUGCACAAUAUAUCUAACACGUUCUUUUGAUACCUUUAGAGUUUCAGCUAUCUCGAACAACUUCACUUUAUGGUCAUGCAAAAUUAUUUUGUGGACUUUUUUAUGUUUUCGUCGGUAACAGCCUCUUUGGGGCACUGCGUGCAUCAUCCUCGGUGCUCAUUUCGCCUCGUUUAAACUUAACAAACUCCUCACCGGUUGAUUUUCCUGGUACAGCGUCCGAAUAAUGUUUAUCAAGCCAAACCUUGGCUUUUUUGCCAAAAAGCAAUGCUUUAUACACGAAAUUCCUUUUUGUCCAUUUUUUUAACUAACGUAAGUAGCUUGAACUUUACUAAAAAUCCCAAGUAGCACCGAACGGGUUUAUUAAGUCUUUUAAGGAUGCUUUAAAACUGUAGAAUAAAACUAAAAUUAAAACCAUUUGGUUUUUAAGUAAACCUUAAGGUUGCAAUAAAACCGCUUUCAGCAUAAAAGGGCCCACUCUGAAAGAGGUCAAUAAAACCAAAAAUAAAAACCUUAAAACUUUGUUAUCUUAAGCAACUGGUUUUAAAGCUGCUGUGAAGGUGCUUUAAAACCAUGUUAAAAGACACUUUAAGUGCAGGUAGUUUUAUAGCAAACUUAAAAAGGUUUUUUAAUGGAGGCUUUUAAAGACAAUUUACCUUAUUAAAUGAUUCUUUAAACCCAUAUACUUCCAUAUAGGCCAACAAUUUUUUACAUGUGUUAUGAUAGGUAGAUACGUAUUUGUAACCAUAAAAUAAUAAAAAGUACUUGGUUAUUUCGGACUGUCAAGAUAGAAAAACACUUGCGCACCCAACUUUAUUGAUAAUGUUAACAAAAAUAGGUCUAAAUAAUUCACGCGCCCUAAAAUUUCUGACGUUUGGCGAUUAAAAAAUAAAAAUAAAAAAAAAAUAAAUCCGAAAGAUAUUAAUUUGAAUGAAAAAUAAUUUUAUCUACAAUUUUAAUGUUUUAAUGUUAAAAUAAAUCGAAUUUAUGUCUUUAAGUCGCUUAUUUAUAAUUUUUAUAUAAGCCUUAUAUUGUAAUCUGUAAUGGCUUUCAGCAUCUCCAGAAAGUAAUAUGGCCUAAAUCCAAAUAAAACUAUUUAGUCUAUCGACAGAGAAUUGUUAAGAUCAAAUGGUUUUAUUUUAUACUUUUCCAAGAGCAUAUAUCCUACAUAAAAGCAAGGUUGCCUUGGAAUUAAAACCGUUUAGUUUUAAUGCUGCUGUCAAUAAUGCCACUCGGUUUUAAUGUGAAUCUAACCUAAAAUCGAGGCGUCGUAGUGCUGUGUGUGUGUUGUAUGUUUCUUUUAAAAUGACCAGUUCGUUUAUAUUGUAAGUACUUGCGACUUAUUUCUUCCAUACUGUACUUCCACUUUUUACAACACACUACACCACUGUUUCGCUCUAAAACAAAUGGCCGACUAUGUUGGACAUAAAAGACGAGGGGAUGAGUUUAGUUUUAUUGUUUCUAACAAGAAGCAUAGUUUAGUCUUUACGAUAACCAAAUUGAUUCUGUCAAGAGCGUUUGGUUUUAAUAUAGCCUACUAAUUGCUUUUAAGAAAGCAACUUUAAAGAAAACUAAAAAAAUAGUUUUAAGGCAUAUGUUUUACUGACAUAAUAGUCUUGAGAUCAAGUAGUUUUAAUAAUAGGUUUUAUAAGUCAUAUUAGGAGAAUCUUUAAAACUGCAAUAAAACUAAAAGGUCACAAACUAGAAUCUAAUAAAACCAAACAGUCCGGAAGUUCAUUAUAAAACUUAUUAGUUUUAAAGUGUACUGAGAAUAUACCAUUUUAAAACUACAAUAAGACAAAUUAUCUAUUAAGAUUAAUUAGUCUUAUUUGAUACUCUUAUUAGAUACAUUAAAACUAGUGACAAAUGCUUAACAGUUUUAAAGUUUUGGCAUUAUAUCUACAAGGUAACUUUAAAACCAUGAUCUUCUUAUUUACCACAAUAAAACCUUUAUAAACCUUAAAUAAAACACAUGUUUUUAUUGUGCUACUUGGGAUGCUAUAUCUCACAAACUAAUAAUUCCAAAAAUAGCGACAACUCUACCUUAUCGGUAAUUCGCUCCGAGCGUUAACAAAGUGUCAAAGCAAAAUCGACCGACCUGCUCAUGAUGGCGAUUUUUUAAAAGUUUGUAAGGACGCUUUGGGUAUGUUUAAAAGGGAUAUUUAAAAAAAUGCCGUGUCACGCUAGUGAUAUUAUGUAUAAACAGAAAAUAAAAACGCACUUAAUCUGAUAUAAAUUCUUCACUUUCCAAUAUUGAUUAUCACUUUGAUUGUGUAUCCAUAACCUCACUAUCGCAGUUUAUGUCAAUAAAUCUUUAUUAACGAAAAACAAAAUAUUUUUGUUGUACUAUAAAUUACAUUAUAAAUUAAUAACUAAUGAAUUCUAACAAUUGUAUUCGGUUAUUAUCACCACAAAAUAAAAUAUUCAAGUUUAACAAAAUAAUCCCAUUAGACUCAAUGUUAAAACGUCCUUACAAAAUCUGACAGCGCGACACGUGACUGUAAAUAGAGGGGAGACGCUCGGUGCGAAUAGUCUACGAGAUGUGCACGGUAAAUUGAAGAUGGAAUUACAAAAAAAUAUGUAUGUCUUUGUACUCACUUUAUAAUGCUCAAAAAAUUACGGGAUCUGGAUUUCAAUGCAUAUUUUUUAUAAUUCUCGUAUCAAAGUUGCGCGUGAAGUUAGGGCUGACUAAACAUUAUAUGGAUUUAAUACCAGUAGUGCCAUCUAUGUGUCAGCCUACGAACUUUUCAUCCCACCUGUUAUAUAAUUAGUAGAUAUGAUCGAGUUCAAAAUCAAUUUUAUUGUAAUCAGUUGUAUUGAAGAGUGGAAAAGGUAUUUCUAUUUAUCGCGAUUUAAAGUUCAUUGCUUAUCAUCAGGUUUGCGCAGGCAUCCAUAAACUCAAAUCUAGGCUGGUAGCCCAUUUCACAACAUCAGUCCCGGAUGCUCAUUGGCGCUAAUUGCUAAUUAUUUCGCUCGAAAUACUGAUCUUCGUCGUAGUUCAGGCAAAACGCAUUAAUCUCUGUCACCUGGUCAUAAGACCUUUGUACCAUAUCUUGUUUUUUUCCAUUAAACUCAAGUUAUGUGAUCUCAACUAUAGUCAACGGUUUCCUUAUUGGUAGUUUCCUUAUAUAGGUAGUUCAAUCCUCAGUUGACCAGUAAAUUCCUGCCUUACAUCACUGCGCAUUGAAAUGGCAUAGGGCGUGUAUGGAUGUCGCUUCUUCCAUUUCGAAUUUUCUGAACCGUGGUUCAUUCACCUUAUCUAAUUGGUAUGGGUGCUUUCUUAAGUGGCAAUGUGGAGUUACCGUUUUAAUCUCUCGUUUAUUGAGGUUCAUCAAAUUGUCAAAGAGUUUUUUAUCAAUAUUCUUGAUUAUUUUCUUAGUCUGGAUUUGCCCUUGAGUGGUGCAUAUCCUUUUCGUUUGAUGAGUUCUUAUCAGCCACUUUUGAACCUCUUUUUUUAGUAGCAUUUUUACAAAGGUUUCUCUCGAGCUUUGUUUUGCAAUAAAGGACCCCGCAACACUCCUUAUGGAAAAUUGGUCCCGGUCAAAAUUGGUCCCGGUUAAAUUUAACGAAACUUUGGUCAAUGAUAGUCCUCAGUGAGUAUAUUUAAUAAGUCCAUGGCACCUAGGUCUGAAAAACUAUUAUUCUCGAGCUACAGCCUUCCGAAGUUCUUAAAUUCAGGUACUCGGUUUACGUUAAGUGCACUAAUUCACGGUCAAGUGAAUGAAAAUAUCUAUUACUGAAAGACGACAGAUUAAUUUUCUUCAUGCAUAUUUGCGUGUUGCAUAUGAAUUCGUGGUCAAACAUAGAUGUCCUCAGAAAACUGAAGAAGUGCGAUAGAAAAUGUGCUGCCAGAGUGACAUAACAAUUAUCAUGCUUUCAUGAAUGCUUCUCACUUAUCCAAUACCAGCGUAGCUGCAGUUACACCUUAUCUUUAGAAAACUACUGAACAGUGGCGGAUUUAGGGGGGAAUAAUGGAAUUCCUACCAUAACCAGAAUUAAAGAAAAAAUUGUUGAAGCAUGAUUAUUACACGUUGAAAUACGUUAGCUUACAUGCAGCUUACUACAAACGGAAAAAUUCACCUAAAAUAACUCGACAGUUAGGAAAAUAAAGGGAACUUAUUGCACAUGUUAAUACCUAUGUCUUUUAUGUAGUUUGGGUUUAUCUAUUUUAUAUAUUUUGGGGUUGGUGUUUUAUUGGAAGUCGCUCCCCUCCCCCAAGGCAGAUGUUCCGCCACUGCUACUGAAAUAUCCUGAUAGGUCGUUAGUAAACACGACAUAUGAUGCAUCUAACCAAAGUCAACACAAUCUUAUAAAUAUAAACUCGAUUUUUCCAGAGAAGAUUGUAAUUAAUAUUUAGCGUUCACCUACUACAAUGUAUGUAUGUACUGUGUUUUUUCUUUUCAUAUUGAGACUCCAGUAUAAAGUAUAAAGUUUCUCCUACUAAAGUCUUUAUACUCCGUAUAAAGUCCAUAUUCUCCACUCAUAUCUGAUAUGCUGGAGAUUAUUCUUUGCAAAUCAUCUAAGCUAAGCUAGUUGCAAAAACUACUGCUUCGUCGGCGCAUAUCUAAUGAUUUUUAGAGGCACUCUAUUCUGCAUGUGUGAAACCGUAAGGUGUCUUGUUCUGCUCUAGCAGCACUUAUUGUGGUUGUUCUUCAAUUUUCUGAUGGCGCUUCAGUAGCAGUGGCGGAAACCCAAACUACAAGACGUAAAAAAUAGCAUGUGCAAUAAGUUCCCUUAAUUUUCGUGACUGUCGAGUUAGUUGGGUUGAAUUUGUAUGUCUGUAGUAAGUUGCAUGUAAGCUAAAGUAGUUCAACGUAUAAUAAUCAUGUUUCAACAAUUUUUUCUUUAAUUCUGGACCGUGUUCCCCUAUCCUCCCCCUAAAUCCGCCACUGUCCAGUAGUUUUCUAAAGAUAAGGUGUAACUGCAGCUAUGCUGGUAUUGGAUAAGUGUGAAGCAUUCAUGAAAAUAUGAUAAUUGUUAUGUCACUUUAGUAGCACAUUUUCUAUCGCACUUCUUCAGUUUUCUGAGGACUUUUCGGAGGUUUUCUGAAGACUAAAAUACGAUGUAUCUAUUUUUGACCACGAAUUCAUAAGCAACACGCAAAUAUGCAUGAAGAAAAUGAGUCUGUCUUCUUUCAGUAAUAGACAUUUUCAUUCACUUGACCGUGAACUUAACGUAAAACGAGUACCUGAAUUUAAGAACUUCAGAAGGCUGUAGCUCGAGAAUAAUAGUUUUUGAGACCUAGGUGCCUUGGACUUUUUUAAUCUACUCACUGAGGACUAUAAUUGACCAAAGUUUCGUUAAAUUUGACCGGGACCACUUUUCCAUAAGGAGUGUUGCGGGGUCCUUUGCUCGUUCAUUCUCAUUAGCCCUUUCAUGACCCGUUACCCAUAUUAAAGAUAAUUUAUUAUCUUUUGCCAGAUUGUUGAGUAGAUCUUUGCAGUUCCUGGCCAGUUUUGAUUUGGUGAAUAUAUUCUUUUCUGCCGGAAUAGCCGCGUGGUUAUCUGUAUAAAUGUUGAUUAACUUUGCUGUAGGGUCUCCAUCCAUGAUUUCAUGAAUGAAGGCCACUAGAGCAAAACCUUAAGCUUGGAACACAGUUAUAUAUUGACCUAGACUGUCUUAUUAUAAUUACAUGUUUGCCCAAAUACUCAUGAUUUUAUCAUGGGCAGUUUUAAAUCCAUCAGUGAAUUAUAUUAACCCAUUCGCUGCCGAUCGCGCACCAGCGCGUGAUAUGGUUAUUCAGUCAGGUGCCGAUCACGCGCCAGCGAGUGAUAUGGUUACUUAAGUCAGGUGCCGUUUAACAGAAUGGCUCCUAGCCGAGUUCCAUCCUAUUCGAUACAUAUAGUCUAGGCGCCAAAUAGAGGUCACCGUGUCCUUUUCAAUUCUGAUGGACAAACUUAACGGUUUCUUAUGGAUUUUUGGCCGCUGAUUACGAAUUUCGAGGGUGGAUUUCGAUCCGAGUGGUCAAAAAAUUGUGAUUAUAAAGCUCUGGCUCAUAAACUGAAAGAGAUAAAAAAAUGUUUCAAAUAAAAUUUGUUCCUUAAAAAAACGAAGAAAAAAACGUUUACUAAACUUAAAUCCAACAAUUAGAACUCAAGAUAUUGUAAAAUUAGUGCAUAAUGCAAAUUGCAAAAUAAAAUAAGUAUUUUUCGAAACUUUAUCGAUCGUAACUCGGUUUCUACGCAUGCAAAUGAGCCUUAGAAGGUCUCAUUUUAAAGCGGAAUUAAUAGGCUUCCAAACAAAGUUUGUUAAAUUACUUUAUCUUCAUUUGUUUUAAAGUCAUACCCGUUUGAAGUUAUAAUUUAUUGUACAUUAAUUUGUUUAUAAGGGUUUCAAUCAAAUUUGAGCUAUAAACAUUUACACUUUAAUUAACAAUAAUGAUAGAAGUACACAAAAGGAACAUUUUAAGCUUACAAAAAUGUUCGUAAGUUUAUUUUUGGCCAAGAUAUCGAUAUUUUGGCUACAAAUUUCGUCACUUACUUGACUGUGAGCCGAUCUUGCGCCUCAUAGCGCGCCAUUAAAAUAUCGAUAUCUUGGCCAAAAAUAAACUUACGAACAUUUUCAUAAGCUCAAAUUGUUCCUUUUGGGUUCUUCUAUCAUUAUUGUUAAUUAAAGUAUAAAUGUUUAUAGCUCAGAUUUGCUUGAAAACAUUAUAAACAAAUUAAUGUACAAUUUUUUUAACAAAAUUAUAACUUCAAACGGGUAUAACUUUAAAACAGAUGAAGAUAAAGUUAUUUUAGCAAACUUUGUUUGGAAGCCUAUUAAUUAAGCUUUAAAAUGACAUCUUCUAAGACUCAUUUGCAUACGUAAAAGCCGAGUUACGAUCGAUAAAGCUUCGAAAAAUACUUAUUUUGCAAUUUGCAUUGUGCACUAAUUUUACAAUAUCGUGAGUUCUGGAUUUAAAUAUAGUAAACGUUUUUUUCUUCGUUUUUUAUUAAGGAACAAAUUUUAUUUGAAGCAUUUUUUUAUCUCUUUUAGUUUAUGAUCAAUUAAAUUGUUUAUAACAAUUUUUUGACCACUCGGAUCGAAAUCAACCCUCGAAAUUCGUAAUUAGCAGCCAAAAAUCCAUAAGAAACCGUUGAGUUUGUCCAUCAGAAUUGAAUAUGACACGGUGACCCCUCUGGCGCCUAGACUAAUAGGCAGCGAAUGGGUUAAGUCUCAAUUAAUAUUUGGGACUUUUUGUUCUCUAAUAUACAUUUUUCUUUUUGUUACAUUAGUACUUUAAAAAUAUAUUGCUUUGAAGAACGUGUUUGAUAUUUUCUCAGGGCGUUGUCAUAUCUACUAAUUUACAAAAAAUGCAAUACUUUCGCGACAUUAUGUUUUUGUAUGAUGCAUUGCAUGUUAAAUAUUAAAUAAGUUGGAUAUGUCUGGAAGUUUUAAAGCAUUUGAAAACUGUACCUACAUCUAAUGUCGAGCAAUAUGUAUAUAUUUUUAUUUAACGACCUAUUCUAAGUAUUUAUUUGCUUACAUUAAUAAAAGUUUUUUUAACGUA